rnacentral:lncRNA from 1 species
AUGAAUGAAGAUGAUGAAAACAUCCAAAACGGAAAAAGGCCGGAGAGAGUGAAGGUAAAUGUAUCGGAACACAGAAAACAUAAUCAAAAAAUGACUGAAAAAUCCAUUUCUUUUAUAAAGUACAGAUCAGGACACAGGAUGUCAUUAUGUCAGCGUCAUAUUUAUGAAAUGUCUGAUUUCAUAAUCAGAAAUUACAAAAGAAUGAGCGUCUCCAACCGUGUGGCAAGGCAGCCCAGGGUGCAGGCAGCGCAAUUCACAAUGGGUCACAAAACCUGCUCUCUGCUGUCAAGCCGCACAGCCGACCUUUGCCCCAGGCCUGGCGAUCUGAGCUCCAGCAGCUCCCGGCCCACCCCUUGCUCAGGAGAGCACUGCGGCGAGGCUGAGGGACAGACCGACCCACAGACGCCGCUGGGACAGAUCGUGGGGGGCUGAUGGCCGCUCAGGGCGAGCCCUGCGUCGGGUCCGGGGUGAGUUCCCCUCCCUGGCCCUAGUCAGGUCGGGCUGCAAACCCAGGAAGGGGAGAGACACCCACACUCUGGGCCUCUGCUGUGUAGGCAUCUCGGAUCAUGACCUGAAGAGCCAGGGACUUUUCAGGGGUCCCCGGGCCUCCCAGACACUGGGGACUUUGACAUUAGCUGUAUAAAGCUGGGGGACCCUCCACAAAUCCUUCACACCCAGAGAGCCCCUACCGGUCUCCCGGACCCUGCCUCCUUGGCUCCCUCCUCCCUCAGAGCACCGUGGGAAGUGGACUUGAUGGGCUGGCGUGGGGGCAGACAACUGGGGUGUCCGGAGUGGGCAGGACAGAGACUGAUGCUGGCUCCACUCCUGCGCCGUGUGGUGGUUUGCCGCUAGUGUCCAUGCACCUCCACGCUUAGGGGAAAGGCGCUAUCCCCGUUUCACGGGCAGGGUACUGAAUCCCUGCACCUAGCUGGUGAGCCGUGAAGCUAGAACCAAAGAUAAGUAGUGAGCCAGG